rnacentral:lncRNA from 1 species
AUUUUCUUAUAAAUUGGCUGGCAAAUGUCCAUAUGAAAUACACCAAAGUUUGAGACAAAUGUCUCUUGUCUUUCCUUUCUUUCAUUAUAGAGUAUUUUGUAAGAGAUUGAGUGUUGGAAAACACUUGUGUAAAUCCUUUCUUUGGAGUGAUCUUGUAACGUUAUUCUCUUGGGGUAUUUGUGACUAUUUACUGUAUUUACUAUAAUUUUAUAAUCUCUUUUAUAUUCUUAUUGGUAUAGUAAAAUUUAUUUUCUUUACGUGUGGACGUAGGUCACUUUGACCAAACCAUGUUAAUUUGGGUCAAGCCUGCACGGUUUUACCAAAAGGCCUCACACAGUUGUGUGAAUAUGAACCUUUCUACAUAUAUUAUUUUGUGCAAUUAAGAUAACUUGAUAAUUAUUUCUAAACUAUAUAUCCAUUUAUAUAAUUAUUUCUAAACUAUAUAUCUAUUUAUAUCAUUAGUUGAUUUUUGUUGUUAUCAUUGCUAGUUGUUUUUCAGUACUAUUGUAUAUUGCUAUAUUGCACAUGUUAUUUUGACUGUGAGUGUCUUGAACCGCAAUUGGAUUCAUACCUCUGAGUAUGUUGUGGAAAUAAAAAUGAAAUUUGGUUACUUUUUGCUUUGCAUGGGGAAGUUUUUCGAACCGUUUUUCAACAACCUUUGGUCCUAAAUCAACGUCUUGAACCAUUGGCAUGACAUAACAAUGAAGCAAAUAAAUAGAACUAGGCUCCUUUUCUCCAUCUUUUCUUUCUCUUCGUCUCUCCCACUUAGUUAAUUGAGAUGGAAUAAUGUAUUGCAGAUACAAAUAUAUUAUGAGUAUUGUAAUAUACGUGGCCUACUUUUGGCCAUAGAGUAAGUUCCUUGUUGGCUUCUAUGUCGUCUUUUAUUGGUCACUUUGUUGGACAUUUUAUGUUCAUUCAUUAAAGGCCUUGCUGGACAAUCAUAUUCCAUAUAUGACCUUCUCAUAUUCUUUUAAAUAGGUUGGCAAAUUUCCAUAUCAAAUACACCAAAGUUUGAGACAAACGUCUCUUGUCUUCGCUUCCUUUCAUUAUAGAGUAUUUUGUAAGCGAUUGUGUUUUGGGAAACACUUGUGUAAAUUCUUUCUUUAGAGUGAUCUUGUAAGGUUAUUCUCUUGGGGUAUUUGGGGCUAAUUAGAAUAUUUACUCUAAUUUUGUAAUCUCUUUUGUACUCUUAUUGAUAAAGUAAAAUUGCUCCUCUUCGCGUGUUGACGUAGGUCACAUUGACCAAACCACGUUAAAUUGGGUCAAGCCGGCACGGUUUCACCAAAAGGCCUCACACAAUUGUGUGCAUAUGAUCUUUCCUACAUACAUUUUUUUGUGUAAUUAAGAUAACUUGAUAAUUAUUUCUAAACUAUAUAUCCAUUUAGAUGAUAAUUAUUAACAUUCAUAUUGGAUGAGUAGUUAGCAAAAUAACUACCGCAUGAUCUUAUUUGAUAUCUAUACACAAUGGAAAAAUAUAUUGUAUAAUUGCUAUCACAGAUUGUUUAAUAUCAUCUAGUUAGUUGCCCGCAUGAUUUUUACAAUAUGCCAGCUUUCAGUUCCAGAUAAUAACGACUUUUUAUUUUCAUUACAUCUACCAGUACAUAGUCAUAACAUAUUUUUAGGUGUUAGUUAAUUGUGUAUAUCUCAGUUCGUUGAAUAUAUAUGUUUAGAUUAUUUAGUAUCUUAAACAUAUACAACGGUAUCAGAAAAUCACAGUUUUCCAACUACUAAAAUAGUCGUAUAGUAGUUGCAAUGUCCAAUUUUCCGACUACAUUCUGAUCGUUUUGUAUAGUCGGAAAAUGAUAAGUCGGAAAAUAAAUUCAGACUACUGUACUCGAAAAUUUCUACAUUUUUUAACUUCAUGUCCGACAACUACAGUCGAAACUGUAGUCGGAUAAUAUUUAUAAAAAUUACUACAAUAUUAGUUAUUAUUUUACGACUAUAGAACUAUUGAGUAAGAUAGAAAAUUACAAAUGAAAAUGUAACGACACGACCGGUCCUUUUGAGAAUUUGCAUUUUCUUCAACUAUUUGAAGCCUUGAGCAGCAUCGUAUGAUGUAUUAUAACUUGUGUGAAUCGUCAAUUUUGAUUUUCAGGUGAUUCGAAAGUGAUUUGAAAGAAUGAAUUUCAUGAUUGAAACUCUAAGUUGUAAGAGUUGACCAAGUUUGACUUUUUAAAUAUUUGACCUCGAUUCGGAGUUUUGACAUCUCUAUUAAGUCCGGAUGGUGAUUUUGGACUCGAUCGUAUACCCGGAUUUGCAUUUGGAUAUUUCUAGAAGGUUUCGGUGCUAAUUGGCGAGAGUUGGAAAUUUGAAGGUUUAAAAGGUUCAUAAGUUUGACCGGGAGUUGACUUUGAUAAAAUCGGGUUCGGAUUAUGGUUUAGGUAAUUGGAAUAGCUUUGUUAUGUCAUUUUGGACUUGUGUGCAAAAUUUGAGUUCAUUCUGUGUUGAUUUGAUAUGUUUCGGUGCGAAUUUUGAAAGUUAAAAGUUCAUUAAGUUUGAUUUGAGGUGCGAUUCAUCGUUUCGAUGUUGUUAUGCAUGAUUUGAGGCCUCAAAUAGAUCUGUUUUAGGUUAUGGGACUUGUUGGUAUAUUCGGGCGGGGUCCCGAGGAGUUCGGGCAAGUGUCGGAUUGAUUUCGGACCAUUUUUUAUCACGACCCAAUUUCACUUAUAGGUCGUGAUGGCGCCCAACGUCACUGCUAGGCAAGCCAACUAAUGAAUUAAACAUAUAAUUCCUUUUUUAAUAAGUUUUCGAGUAAUUAAAAUUUCCUUAUUUGCAAGAUAUAAGAAAAUAAAAGGUUUAAAUAAAUAAAACCAAGUAAUAGUUCAAAACCAUAAAUCUACUAGCGUGUGUGCCAAGACAUGGUAUCACAAGUGUAUGAGCAUCUAGUAGAUUAUACAAAACUCAACUACUGUCUGAACAUGAAAUAAACAUAAUACAAAUACAAAGGAGAGGCUCUAGGAGCUGCAGAAUGGCUCAUAAAGCAGCUCACCACUAAGCCUCAGGAUAUCUGGGAUACGCGCCGGUUGGACCGCCUAAUGCACAUGUCUCAGAUCCUGCACCAAAAAGUGUAGUAUGAGUACGUAAACAACGUUUACCCAGUAAGUAUCAAUCUAAUCUCGAAUAAGUAGUGACGAGAAGUCGACUUCGACACUGUCAAUAAUAUUAAGAUAGGAAUAUUUAAAUAAAUACGGUUUAUGGGAAUAACAACAAAUUUCCUUAACAAGCAAGAAUAAAUAAUUCUUUCACAAUUUAAUAAUUUCCAAUAAGUCAUUUAUCUUCACAAACUGCAAUAAUAAUGUCAAGACACCGUGUAAUUAUUCUUAUUAAGCACGAUUUAUGCCGAGGUCCUAUGGCCUGAUCCGGAAUAAUGUGUACACCGUCGAGGAUCGAGCGGCACGAACCAUAGAUGCAUUUAUCUACCCGAUGCGUUCGGCCCGCUUCACAAGAAGAGAAGGAUAUUUUAUACAAAAUAAUACGAAUUUCACUAGCGAUCUUUCACAAUUUUCCCUACAAAUACCAAUAUAAUUUAGGCAUUUUAAAACUAUCAAGCAUGGUGCAAAAUUUCCAAAUAGUUCAUGAAUUGGGUCCUAAAUUACCCGGACAAUAGCAUAAUAGUAGCUACGCACGGACUCUCGUCACCUCAUACGUACGUAGCCCCUCACAAUUAGGAACAAUUAUUUAUUUAAAAUACCUAUGGAGUAAAUUCCCUCUUACAAGGUUAGACAAGAGACUUACCUCGUCUCAAAGCUCACACCGGUCACAAUUUUGCGUUAAAGCCUCAAUUGAUGCCGAAAAUUCGAAACUAGCCAAAUGUUAUAUAAUUUAAUCAAUAAAUACUCAAAAUUUCAUAAUUUAUCUAUUAUAUUAAUUACCCAACCCAAAUUGAUAAAUUUCCUAAAUUUCACCUCGGGCCCGCGUGCCCGGAUUCUGGAAAGGUUCGGAGGGAAUCGUCACCCAUAACCUUAAAAACUCAAAUUUAUAAUUUUUAUCACAAUCCAUAACCAUUUUCGUGGUUAAAAUCUUAUUUUUAUCAAAACCUAGGUUUUUCAUCUAAAACCAUAUUUUUUUACUAAUUUACAUGUUAAACUCUACCCAUAAUCUAAGUAUUUAACUCACAAUAGGUAGAAUUAACUUACCUCCAAGUUGCUAGGUAAAUAGUGUCACGCCCAAAUUCGGGGAGCGCGACCGGCGCUCAACCGAGAGAAACCGGCCGAGCAAGACUAUUAGAUUUCCUUCUACCCAAACUCAUCCAUGAAUAAGGAGGAGAAGUACUCCAUUAAUCAAACACUAAAAAGAUUUUUUAACAACUUCCUUUUCAUUCUCAUUAGCAGCUUCAUUCAUAAUUUUCAAAAUAUUACGAGUUUAUAGAAUUAAUGAAAAGAAAAAAACAUGAUUUCCAAAUAUCAACAUUUCUAGUUCAAUUCCCAACAUCAACCACAACCCACAACCUGUCUACGGAGCCUCUAAGUAUAAUAGAAGAGUAAUAUGGAAAUGUCGGCAACAAGGCCCCGGCUAUACCUCAACCACAAAGUACAUGAGAAAUAAAAGAUACAUGACCCCGAAAUGAAGUGGGGCUCACCAAAUCAGCUGAAAAGAGUAUACUGCUAUCACUGAUCAAUGUCACCUGUUGUAGAACCACCUACAUCCAUUAAAGAUACAGCGCCCCCGGCAAAAGGGACGUUAGUACUGUCGAAUAGCGCUAGUAUGUAUAGCUAAAAAUUCUCUUUCAAAAUAGAAUGCCCAUAUGAUCUAUACGUGGAAUACAUAAUAUAAUGUAAUUGUAACAACAUGUACAAACAAGGCCAAUGAAAGUAGCACCUUCCUCCCUUAUUUUACACAUAUACAUUUCAUAUACCAUCCUUAGUGUUCACAUAUAAUAUUAUACACCUAUGCGUCUCAUAGACCGUUCACAAUAUUACCUAUAUAAUACACAUGUGUGUUUAAUAAGCCGUUCAUAGUGUUUACUUACAGAAUACAAAUACACCUAUUCAAGGCUUGAAAAUACAACAUGAAUAUGAUAAAUCAUGGUAACAAUAAAAGGGCUUAGAUAACCGUCAACGUCGAGCCAAUUUACUAAGAGCUUUCAUUAAUCAUUUAUAAAUAAUAAUUCGGGGAUCCUCUAUAACCAUCUUCACACAAAGCGGCCCUCCACCUCACCCCAAUAAAUGCGGGUGGAGGAGUAUCACGGUACCACAAUCCCAACACAAGCGGCCAUACCGCCUCACUCCAAUAUAUACGGGUGAAAGUGUAUCACAAUACCACAAUCCCGACAUAAGUGGCCCUACCGCCUCAUCCCAAUAUAUGCGGGUGGAAGUGUAUCAUAAUACCACAAUCCCAACACAAAGCGGCCCUACCACCUCACCCCAAUGUAUGCGGUUGAAGGUGUAAUCCCAAUCACAAUAUCAUAUAUAAACUCAAAGCACAUUGUUUGUCAUUACAAUUAAGGUCGUAAUUACUCAUAUCAUUAGAAUACUUCAUAUUCAUGCUCAUCAUGGAGAAACACAACUCUUUACAUUAGUACAUGCAUGGUAAAUCAAUAANNNNNNNNNNUUUACAUACAUUAUUUCAGAAGUGUACAACUAUAGUUGAAACCAUUGGGACAUACAACACUUCAUAAUUCUCACUUAGGUAACGACCAUAUUUCAUGUUCAUAUUAUCAUUUACUUGUACUUGCCAUGGGAGAUCAUACAACAUUAUGAACAUUUAGAACAUUUAGGAACAUCAUAGUCUUUACUCGCAAGUACGUAGGGGCUUAGAACACAUUGGAAACAAAAGUACAAAUACAUUCAUCUCAUAACCUUUCACACCAUAUAUCACUUCAUUAGUACUUUCAACUACGUACAACAUCAUUAUUUCAUUGGCUCCCUUGGCUAUACAUAUUAUUCUUCAUUCAUGGCACUAUGGCCGCAUAUCAUAUUCCGCACUUUCAUUCUUUACUUUCAAGGAUUAUCAUCAUAAAUAUCAUCAUAUAUAAUACUCUUGCAAUACCUUUCCCCAAAAAGGCCAAUACACAAUUUCAACUCAUGAAUAUGUAAAAACUCAAAACAUAUUGGAAAUACCCACCAAGUAUAGAAUUAGUUAGAACAACCACAUUAGGACAUGACGUGAGUACAUAAGCUUUUGGAUAAUUCUAUUUUUGGAGUCAAUUUGGAAUAGUUGAAUCAAGGCUCAUUUCAUAACAUUUCACACAUCAUUUCACUUCGUUGGCGCUAUUGGCUACAAGUAUAACUUUCAUUCUUGGCACGGUAUUCACACUUUAUAUCCCCAACUCACUACUUUCACUUUCAAGCAUCUAUAUAGAUUACCGACAACAAGGAAUCUCUAAUCACAACUUUUAGUACACCUAUGAUCAAUUAAGAGUCUUAUGCACAUUGAGACUUCUUACACAAUUUGGCAUAAUAGCCUUCACUUGAAACACUACUUGGAGUCAUAACAUUUUUAUACCCAACUCAUGCUUUGAACACAUUCCCGAAGGAUAAAAUCAUAUAAUAAGAGCAUUCGGAACACAUUUUGAACAUACACCUUUCAACACAAAGCUUAUUCGGAAUAAUUGAUUUAUAAAGAAUAACUCGGGACUUAUAAGAACAUCAUGCAAUUCAAUUCUAGGAAAGAAGUUUAGCCAACAUACCUUGCUUUGAGCUUUCCUUAAAUUACUACAACGUUCCGAAAAUUCUAGCAAUCCCAAUCUAUUUGAGACAUAACAAAACUGAACACAAAUUAGGGAGAUAUUCUUGGUUUCAGCUCCUUUGAGCAUUUUAUCAAACACUAGGUGUGCAAAUUUAGCUACAAGGUUCUUCUACAAGAUUUCUUUCAUUCCACAACCCAAUCUUUACUUAUUUUAGCUCAACAAUCUUCCUACAAACCUUAUUGGUACAAGCAUGUAUAAUUAAUACUCUUACACCCAAAAAUCAUACUCCAAAUCACCCAUCUUUUACCCCAAACUCGAAAUUAAAGACUAGGGGUUUGAAUCUUACCCGGCCUUGGGGGUAUUAAAUGAGAUCCUACAUGCGCAGCCGUGCACCUGGGCAAGUGGCCGCGUAUCUGGCCGCACACCUGAGGCAGAAACUCUCAAAUAUGGGCGGUCACGCAUAUGACAUAGGUCCGGUAAAAUGGCCAUAACUUUCUAUAGAAAUAUCCAAAUGAUGAACGGUUUGAUGCGUUGGAAACUAGACUCAAAGGGAUUUAAUUUGAUAGGUACAUCACCACCUAAGUCAUUAUAUUUAGGGAGUUCUAUUCAUUUGAAGUUGGGUCUUGUGCCAAUUGAAAUAUCUUUACCACUUAAUGUGUCCAACUUGUUCCACACAAGUUCCUGCCAAUUCCAAAACUCCUUAGUAUGUUCCAACACACCACAAACAUACAUUAUCAAUUCAACAUGAUGUGGCUCUAUCCCAUAUGACUCAUUUAAUACUCAAAUACGUUAUUCCCAAAUACUGUUGACGCACUUUAUAAACUUAAAUCAUUAGGAUUUUUUUACGGGGCCUUACAAAUACCCCUCUCAAGAAGCUCCAAAAUCGCCCCAAAAAUGAAGAAAAUAGUCAAAAAUACUCAAACCCCGACUUAAAUGAAGGUUCUACCUUCUGUGAUUUUCGCACUUGUAGAGGUACGAUCGCUUUUGCGGUCCCGUAUCUGCGAAAAAAUCCUCGCAGAUGCGGUCUCCUCGAGUUGGGCUAAAUUUCGCACCUGCGGACCAUUUUUCCUGCUUAUGCGGGUCUCGCGCCGCUUCUUUGGCUAGGUUGCUUCUGCGGCUCCUCCCUCGCACCUGAGCGCUCGUAGGUUCGCCCAAUGGCUCCACUCCUGCAGCGUCUGAGUUGCCCCCGCUAGAUUGCUUCUACGACUUCUUAUUCGUAUCUGCGAGCUCGCACAUGCGGCUGUCCAUGCGCUAGUGCGAUUACACUGGAAGCUUCAGCCAUUGCCUAUAAGUCCAAACUUGGUCCGAGCCUCGUCCGAUUAACACCCGAGGCCCCCGGGACCCCGACUUAACAUACCAACACGUUUGAAAUCAUAAAACGGACUUGCUAGGACCCUUGGAAUGCGUAAACCAACAUCAAAACCAAGAAUCAUACCCCAAACCAAAUUUAUUCAACUUGGAAAUUUCAAGUUCUUCAAACUUACUCCGUACGCGUCGAAACAUACUUAAAUUACUCGGAAUGACACCAAACUUUGCAUGCAAGUCUUAAAUCACCAUAUGAAACUAUUCCCAUGCUCGGAACUCCAAACGGACCUCGAUUACUCCAAACCAAAUUUGAAGAACUUUAAACCUUCAAAUAGUCAACUUUCACUAUUAAGCGCUGAAACGCUCCCGGUCGUCCAAAACCCAAUUCGAACAUACGCCCGAGUCCAAAAUCAUUAUACAAACCUAUUGGAACCAUGUCAAAUCCUGAUUCCGGGGUCGUUUACUCAAAAUAUUGAUCGAAGUCAAACUUAUCCUUUAAAAAGCUAAACUAAGGAACCAAGUGUUCCAUUUUCAACCCGAAUCCUUUAAAUUCUUGAACUAACCAUCCCCACAAAUCAUAAAACAGUAAAAGCACAUAUGGGGAGUCUUAUUUAUGGGGACGGUGUUCUAGAAGGCAAAAUGACUGCUUAGGUCGUUACAUUCUCCACCUCUUAAACAAACGUUCGUCCUCGAACGGGUUUAGAAUCAUACCUGGAGUACUGAAUAAGUGUGCAUAUCUUCUCUAUAUGUCCUCCUCGGCCUCCCAAGUCGCUUCCUCGUCUGGUUGGCCCCGCCACUAAAUGUUUACCGCAGAAAUCCUCUUAGACCUCAAUUGGCGAACCUGCCUAUCAACAAUGGCAACUGGCUCCUUCUCAUAACCCAAGCUCUCAUCUAGUUGAACUGUGCUGAAGUCUAACACAUGCAAUAGGUCGGCAUGAUACUUUCUUAGCAUAGAUACAUGGAAAACCAGAUGAACUCCCGAUAGACUGGGAGGCAAGGCAAGCUCAUAAGCAACCUCCAUCAACUAGUCUCAACACCUCAAAUGGGCCUAUAAACCUUGGGCUCAACUUACCCUUCUUCCCGAAUAUCAUGAUUCCCCUCAUCGGUGAAAUCUUCAAGAGAACUUUCUCGCCCACCAUAAAUGAUAAAUCACGUGCUUUCUGAUCCGCGUAACUCUUCUGUCUGGACUGUGCUAUACGAAGUCGCUCCUGAAUCAAAUUUACCUUUUCCAAGGCAUCCUUCACCAAAUCAGUACCAUAUAACGUAGCCUCGCCGGGCUCGAACCAUCCGAUGGGAGAACGACAUCGCCGACCAUAUAAAGCCUCAAAUGGAGUCAUCUCGAUGUUGGAUUGGUAACUGUUGUUAUAAGCAAACUUGGCCAAAGGCAAGAAACGAUCCCACUGACCUCCGAAGUCAAUCACACAUUCCCUGAGCAUAUCCUCUAAGAUCUGAACUAUCUCCUAAAUAUAAAUCUGGGCCAACCUCUCAGAAGUAUACGUAGUCACAACCGGAAUGAAGUGUGCCGACUUGGUCAACCUGUCGACAAUGACCCAAACUGCAUCAAACUUCCGCAAGGUCCGCGGCAACCCAACUACGAAGUCCAUAGUAAUGCGCUCAUAUUUUCACUCUAGUAUAGUCAUCUGCUGAAGUAGGCCACCUGGCCUCUGGUGCUCAUACUUAACUUGCUGGCAAUUUAGGCACCUGAAUACAUACUCAACUAUGUCUUUCUUCAUCCGCCGCCACCAAUAAUGUUGCCUCAGGUUGCGAUAUAUCUUCGUAGCAUCUGGAUGAAUAGAAUACCGCGAAUUGUGUGCCUCUUCUAGGAUAUUUUCCCUCAACCCAUCCACAUUAGGAACACAUGGAAGACCUUGGAGUCCCAGAACACCAUCUUUACCAAUAGUAACCUCCUUGGCACCACCCCAUAGUACUGUCUCUCGGAGAACCAACAAGUGUGGAUCAUCAAACUAGCGAGCCUUAAUCCGCUCAAAUAGUGAAUACUUGGCAACAACACAUGUAAGAACUCGACUAGGCUCUGAAAUAUCAAGCCUUACAAGUCUGUUAGCCAAGGACUGAAUGUCCAAAGCUAAUGGCCUCUCCUCAGCUAAAAUGAAGGCCAAACUACCCAUACUUUCUGCCUUUCUGCUCAAGGCGUCUGCAACUACGUUUGCUUUGCUCGGAUGAUAAAGUAUAGUAAUAUAAUAAUCUUUUAGUAACUCAAGCCACUUGCGUUGUCUCAUAUUUAGAUCCCUUUAUUUGAACAAAUGCUGCAAGCUGCGAUGAUCAGUGUAAACCUCACAGGACACCCCAUAAAGAUAAUGCCUCCAGAUCUUAAGAGCAUGAACUAUCGCGGCCAAUUCUAAAUCAUGUACCGGGUAAUUCUUCUCGUGGUUAUUCUGUUGACGUAAAUCAUAUGCAAUAACUCGCCCCUCCUGCAUCAAUACACAACCUAGGCUAACGCGUGAAGUGUUGCAAUACACUAUAUACAUCCCUGAACCAGAAGGCAACACUAACACCGAUGCUGAAGUCAAUGCGGUCUUGAGCUUUUGAAAGCUCACCUCACAAUCAUCGGACCAUCGGAACGGAGCACCCUUCUUGGUCAAUUUGGUCAAAGGUGCUGCAAUAGAUGAAAAGCUCUCCACAAACCGAUGAUAAUAACCUGCUAACCCCAGAAAACUCCUGAUCUCAGUCGUCGAGGUGGGACGAUGCCUAUUCUAAACUGCCUCGAUCUUUCUAGGAUCAACUUUAAUACCCUCGCCCUAUACAAUAUGUCCAAAGAAUGCUACAGAGUCUAGCCAAAAUAUAUACUUGGAGAACUUAGCAUAUAACUUUUGUCCCUGCAAGGUCUGAAGCACCACUCUCAAAUGUUGCUUGUGCUGCUCCAUACUAAGUGAAUAGAUCAAAAUGUCGUCAAUGAAGACGAUGACAACCAAGUCGAUAUACGGCCUGAACACCCGGUUCAUCAGAUCCAUAAAUGUCGUCGGGGCAUUAGUCAUACCGAAUGACAUUACUAGAAACUCAUAAUGGCCAUAUCUAGUCCGGAAAGCAGUCUUCGGAACAUCCGAAUCUCGAAUCUUCAACUGAUAGUACCCCGAUCUCAAGCUGAUCUUAGAGAACACUCUGGCACCCUACAACUGGUCAAACAAAUCAUCAAUACGCAGCAACGGAUACUUAUUCUUAAUAAUAAUUUUGUUCAAUUGGCGAUAAUCAAUACAGAUCCACAUAGUCCCAUCCUUCUUCUUCAUAAAUAAUACCGGUGCGCCCCAAGGCGACACACUUAGCCUGACGAACCCCUUUGCUAGCAACUCCUCAAGUUGUUCCUUCAACUCUUUUGGAGCCAUACGGUACGGUGGGAUAGAUAUAGGAUGGGUACUUGGGACAAAAUCAAUAUAGAAAUCAAUAUCACGAUCUGGAGGCAUGCCUACAAGAUCAGAAGGAAACACAUCAGAGAACUCUCGGACUACGGGCACCGAAUCAAUCACCGGAGUCUCUAUCGUAGUAUCCCAAACAUAGGCCAAAUAGUCCAAACAACCCUUCUCGACCAUGUGUCAAGCCUUCAAAAAGGAAAUAACUUGACUAGAUGCACUAAUAGACGAACCCUUCCAUUCCAAUCUAGGCAACUCUAGCAUUGCCAAGGUAACGGUCUUGGCAUGGCUAUUUAGGAUGGCAUGAUAUGGAUAUAACCAUUCCAUUCCCAGGAUGAUCUCAAAGUUGAUCAUAUCAAGCAGCAGACGAUAUGCUCUAGUUUAGUAACCACAAAAUGUAACAAUGCAGGACCGGUAGAUCCGAUCCACAACAAUAGAAUCACCUAGAUGAGUGGACACAUAAAUAGGGGUACCCAAGGACUGACGAGAAACACCUAGGAAAUGAGUAAACAGAUAUGACACAUAUGAAUACAUAGACCCUGGAUCAAAUAAUACUGAAGCAUCUCUACCGCAGACAGAAAUAAUACAUGUGAUCACGGUAUCUGAGGCCACUACAUCUGGUCUGGCCAGAAACGCAUAGAAUCUAGCUGGAGCGCCACCUGACUGGCCUCUACCUGACUAGCCUCCACCUCUAUAAUGGCCCCUACCAACCUUCCCUCCACCUCUGGGUGGUCGGACGGUUGGUGGAACAACCGGUGCUGUAAUCAUAGGCUACUGACCCUACUGCACUACCUUUCCCUGAAGCCUGGGGCAGAAUCUCCGUACAUGACUGAAAUCCUUGCACUCGAAACAACCCAUCGGUACGAUAGACUGCUGACCUAAAGUCUGGCCCUGAUGGCCUGAAUACCCACUGAAGGAACCCUGGAUAGCUAGUGGGCGGUAAGAACUCUCUGGCAUAGCACUGAAAUAAGGUCGCACAGGAGCACCCCGAGGAGGUGGCGGUGCUAGAUAAGGGGGCAUGCUGGACUGACCCCUCAUGAACUAACCUCUACCCCCAGCUGGGGCACCACUGAACUCUCCUGAAUAUCGAAACCGCUUAUCCCUCGCCGCCUACUCUCGGCUCUGCUGACGGACACCCUCGAUCCUCCAAGAUAUCUUCACAACUAGCUCGUAAGAAGUCCCCAUCUCUACCUCUCAAGUCAUGGUGGCCUGAAUACCAGAGUGCAAUCUGGCGACAAACCUCCGCACUCUCUCUGUAUUGGUAGGUAGUAUCAUAAGUGCAUGGCGAGACAACUCAGAGAACCUCACCUCAUAGUCGGUCACUGACAUCUGACCAUGUUGGAGUUGCUCGAACUGGAAUCGCAACUCUUCCCUCUGAGAGGGUGGAAUGUAUCUGUCCAAGAAGACGUGUGUGAACUAUUCCCAAGUCAUAGAAGGAGAACCUACUAGUCUGCCAAGAAGAUGUGACUGCCACAACCUACGGGCCCUGCCUUCUAGCUGAAAGGUAGUGAAGCCUACCCCGUGGGACUCUAGUAUCCUCAUGUUGUGCAGUCUGUCCCUGCACCGAUCAAUAAAAUCCUGGGGGUCCUCAUGUCGCUCACCUCCGAAAGCAGGAGGAUGAACCCUAGUCUAUCUGUCCAAUAGCUUGUGCGGAUCACCGACCACAACUGGUAUGGGCUCCGGUGUAGCUACCGUCACUGGCUGAGCUGCACCCACGGGUAGUGCACCCUCGGUCUGAUAUACCGCAGUUGUAUGCCCAGGAGCCUGCGCGGUAGAGGUUUGUGCUCCCUCUUCCACCUGAGAUGUGGUUGGGUCUACCGAAAAUAAAAUGGCUUGAGUCAUAGUAUCCAUGAACCGCAUCAUACGAUCCAUGACCUCCUGAAAUCCCGGAGCGGUUGUGAAAUCCGCCAAAGUUGGCUCUGCCGCAGGCACCUCGCCUUGCUCCCCAAUAAUAGGAUCCUCUAUUGGAUCCAAUGGCGGCAUAGUUGGAGCAACUCUGGGACGUCCUCAUCCCCUACCAUGGGCUGGAGCCCUCCCCCGACCUCUGCCUCGACUUCUAGCAAUAGGAGGAGCAGCUCUUCCCUGGUUUGGAACCUCCGUAGAGCGCAUUCUCACCAUCUGUGAGAGAAUAAGGGAAAGAUACAUAGUAUUACGUCAACUGUACGAUAGAAUAUGAAGAAAGGUAGUUUCCUAACACCCUAUAGCCGCUCGAAAAUAAGUACAAACGUCUCCAUACCUAUCCGCAAGACUCUAUUAGGUCUGCUCAUAACUUGUGAGACCUACGUGAACCUAGUGCUCUGAUACCAUGUUGUCACGACCCAAUUUCACCUAUAGGCCAUGAUGGCGCUCAACGUCACCUCUAGGCAAGCCAACUAAUGAAUUAAACAUAUAUUUUCUCUUUUAAUAAGUUUCCGAGUAAUUAAACUUUCCUUAUUCGAAAGAUUUAAGAAAAUAAAAUGUUUAAAUAAAUAAAACCAAGUAAUAGUUCAAGACCACAAUGCUACUAGCGUGUGUGCCAAGACCUGGUGUCACAAGUGUAUGAGCAUCUAGUAGAUUAUACAAAACUCAACUACUGCCUGAACAUGAAAUAGACAGAAUACAAAUACAGAGGAGAGGCUCUAGGAGCUGCAGAACGUCUCAAAAAGUAGCUCACCACUAAGCCUCAGGAUAUCUGGGAUGUGCGCUGGUAGGACCGCCUGAUGCACCUGUCUCAGAUCCUGCACCAAAAGGUGUAGCAAGUGAAGCAUGCGUACGUAAACAACGUGUACCCAAUAAGUAUCAAGUCUAAUCUCGAAGAAGUAGUGACGAGAGGUCGACUUCGACACUUACUAUGGGUCAAUAAUAUUAAGAUAAGAAUAUUUAAAUAAACACGAUUUAUGUGAAUAAUAACAAAUUUCCUUAACAAGCAAGAAUAAAUAAUUCCUUCCCAAUUUAAUAAUUUCCAAUAAGUCAUUUAUCUUCACAAGCUGCAAUAAUAAUGUCAAGACACCAUGUAAUUGUUAUUAUUAAGCAUGAUUUAUGUCGAGGUUGUACGACCCGAUCCGUAAUAAUGUGUACACUGCCGAGGGUCGAGCGGCAUGAACCAUAGAUAAAUCUAUCUACUGUCGAGGCAUUCGGCCCGCUCCACAAGAAGAGAAGGAUAUUUUAUAAGCAUUUGACUUAAACAUUUUUUAGGUUUUAUACAAAAAUAAUACGAAUUUCACUAGCGAACUUUUACAAUUUCUCCAACAAAUACCAAUAUAAUUUAGGCAUUUUUAAACUAUCAAGUAUGGUGCAAACAUUCCAAAUAGUUCAUGAAUUGGGUCCUACACUACCCGAAAAAUAGCAUAAUUGUAGCUACGUACAAACUCUCACCACCUCAUACGUACGUAACCCCCCACAAUUAGGAAUAAUUAUUUAUUUAAAACACCUAUGGGAUAAAUUCUCUCUUACAAGAUUAGACAAGAGACUUACCUCAUCUCAAAGAUCACUUCCCGGUCACAAUUUUGCGUUAAAGCCUCAAUUGGUGCCGAAAAAUCCGAAACUAGCCAAAUGUUAUAUAAUUUAAUCAAUAAAUACUUAAAAUUACAUAAUUUAUCUAUUAGAGUAAUUACCCAACCCAAAUUGGUAAAAUUUCUAAACUUCACCCCUAGCCCACGUGCAUUCCGAAAAUAUUCGGAGGGAAUCGUCACUCAUAACCUUAAGAACUCAAAUAUACAAUUUUUAUCCCAUUCCAUAACCAUUUUCGUGGUUAAAAUCUCAUUUUUAUAAAAACCUAGGUUUUUCAUCUAAACCCACAAUUAUCAUUAAUUUACAUGUUAAAAUCUACCCAUAAUCUAAGUAUUUAACUCACAAUAGGUAGAAUUAACUUUACUCCAAGUUGCUAGGUGAAUACCCUUCUCAAGAAGCUCCAAAAUCGGCCCAAAAAUGAAGCAAAUGAGUCAAAAAUACUCAAACCCCGACUUAAAUGAAGGUUCUGCCUUAUGUGAUUUUCGCACCUGCGGAGGUACGGCCGCUUCUAUGGUCCCGCAUCUACAAAAAAAUCCUCGCAGAUGCAGUCUCCUCCAGUUGGGCCAAAUUCCGCACCUACGGACCAUUUGCCCGCUUCUGCGGCUAGGUCGUUUUUGCGGCUCCUCCCUCGCACCUGCGCGCUCGCAGGUGUGCCCAAUGGCUCCGCUCCUGCGGCUUCUGAGCUGCCCCCACUGGACCGCUUCUACGGCUUCUUGCUCACAUCUGCGAGCUCGCACUUGCGGUUGUCCAUGCGCAGGUGCGGUUACACCAGAAGCUGGAAAGCUUCAGCCAUUGCUCCUAAGUCCAAAACUUGGUCCGAGCCUUGUCUGAUUAACACCCGAGGCCCCCAGGGCCCCGCCCGAAUAUACCAAUAAAUUUGAAAUCAUAAAAUGGACUUGCUCGAACCCUCAAAAUGCGUAAAAAACAUCAAAACUAAGAAUCAUACCCCAAACCAAAUUGAUUCAACUUGGAAAUUUCAAGUUUUUCAAACUUACUCCGAAUGCGCCGAAAGAUACUUAAACUACUCGGAAUGGCACCAAAUUUUGCGUGUAAGUCUUAAAUCACCAUACUGAACUAUUCUCAGGCACGGAACUCCAAACGGACCAUGAUUACUCCAAAACCUACUCCAAACCAAACUUGAAGAACUUUAAACCUUCAAAUAGCCAACUUUCACUCUUAAGCGCUAAAACGCUCCUGGGUCGUCCAAAACCCAAUUCGAAUAUACGCCGAGUACAAAAUCAUCAUAUGAACCUAUUGGAACCGUCAAAUCCCAAUUCUGGGGUCGUUUACUCAAAAUGUUGAUCGGAGUCAAACGUAUCCUUUAUAAAGCCAAACUAAGGAACUAAGUGUUCCGUUUUCAACCCGAACCCUUCAAAUUCCGGAACUAACCAUCACCUCAAGUCAUAAAAUAGUAAAAUCACAUACGAGGAGUCUUAUUUAGGGGGGCGGGGUUCUAGAAGGCAAAACGACCGGUUGGGUCGUUACAUGUUUCUUCAUGUUUUCAUUGUUGGUUGCUGUUGGUUUCUGCUGCCUCGACUAUCCUUCGCGAUCAAGAAGAUUAGUAUUCUAUCGUGUAGAUGAAAUCUGGAGCUGGGCAUUAUCUUCAUCACGGUCGCGAUUGGAUGGCCGUAUUUGCGUAGAGUUGGGAUGGUCUUCAUCUCGUUCGUGUAGUGUUUGGGACUGAGCUGGGCAGAAUACAGGUUAUCUCUUUGCGUUUGCGAGGUUGUUUCCGCGAACGCAUAGUUCUGUCAGUCUUGUGUAUCGCUUUCGCGAGUCUGUUGCUACGAUCGCAUAGUGUAAUUAUUCAGGAGCAGUGCCUUUUCUUAUUCGCGAUCGCGAUGGUAUUUCCACGAUCGCAAUUCAUUGAUUUGCCUAGUGAUUAUAAGCACUCUAAUUUUGGGGGUUUCAGCCAUAUUUACAUAUUUGGAGCUCUGGAGCUCGGAUUGAGACGAUAUUUGAAGCGAUUUUCAUCAUAUGGAGUGGAGUAAGUGUUCUCUACUCAGUUUGGAUUUUAUUUCAUGAAUCUAUUCUCAUUUUUGGCAUUUGGUUGAUGAAUUCAAAAGAGAAAUUUGGGGGGUUUUGUCUAACAUUUCAUAUAGUAAAUUUUUUAGUUUUGAACGUCAAUUCGGAGUUGGAUUUGAGUGAAACUAGUAUGAUUGGAUUCAUAUUUGAAUGGGUUGUCGGAUUUUAUGAGUUUUAUAGGGUUCCAAGGUGCGGGCCCGGGUUUGAAAUUUUUGUUGACUUUGAAGUUUUUGAUUAAAGAUUCAACCUUUAUCAAUUGGGUUGUUUCCUUAUGCAUUAUUUGAUGUAUUUGAGUUGCUUUUGGCUAGUUUCGAGCCUCUCGGAGGUCAGUACGCGCGGGAUGUCAUUUUUGGAGCAUCGUUUGGCUUGCUCGAUAUUGGAUUUGGCUUAUUCAAGUUAAGUAACACUUAUAAACUUGGUGUUGAGGGUAUGAACCCCUGAAUGUAUGUGUUAUGUGUUGGUGUUGAGAUGACAAGCAUGCUAGGUGACAGGCGUGUGGGUGUGCACCAUGUGAAUCAUGACUAGAUUUAUUAUGUGGUACUCUGUAGUGACCUAAUCUUGUUUCUAAUCAUAAAAUUUCUAUGUGCUAGAGUAAUUGAACUGUGAUCCAUAUUAGAAACCAUGUCUAGGCUAUAUGCUUAUCUUGUUUAGACCCACUAAGGUCAUUUCUGUUAUUGAGUCAUUUUCUUACAUUGCAAUUACAUACUCAAUCAUACUGAUUCAUUUGCAUAUCAUAUCUCAGUCUCUGUUUUCAUUUAUUGAUACAUCAUAUCAUCAUUUUUGGGAUGAUUUUCAUGACAUUGUGAGACCGAGAGACUGGAGAGAUUGAUGACUGAGUUGAGGCCUGAGAACCAGAUUGUGAGUGAUAUUGAUGGGAUCGGGCUACAUGCCGCAACAUGUAUUAUUGAUUCAUGAUGGGAUUGGGCUACACGCCGCAACAUGUAUUAUUGAUUCAUGAUGGGAUAAAGUUACACGCCGCAGCAGGUAUUUUUGAUUCAUGAUGGGAUCAGACUGCACGCUGCAGCAAGCUUUAUUGAUUCAUGCCAUGAUUGGCUUAUUAUAGCGCUUGGGCUGGAUCUUCCCCUCCAGAGUCUGCACACCCACAGUGAGCGCAGUUGCUAUUGAUUCAUUUGGGUUGGAUCUGCCCUGGGUUGGAUCUGCCAUGUUCAGUGCUGAGUGACUGAGUGAUUGAGCGUUAUGAAUGGGAGUGUGAAACUGUGAUAUUGAGUACUCUGAGAGUAUGAGUACAUGAGUUUAUCACUGUGACAUAUUGCAUCUGACAUGUAUACUUGACAAGCAGGCAUAGAGAUGCAUCUCUCCAUGUUUCACGGUUUUGUGACAUUUAUGACUUCACAUGCAAAUUGAUAUGUAGGCAUAGAGAUAUACUUUUCUCAUGCUAUCUGAAAUUAAAUCAUGUUAUUUGUUGUUGAAAGUUUUUGGGAAAAUCAAAGGUUUCUGACUUACUUAUAUUUUUAUGAUUUUGGUGAAGGAUUUGGGUGUUACUGUUAUAUCUGAAAAGUAUGACUAUUUUCCGUAACUGUAAAUGAGCUGAGCAUUAUAUCUCUGAGUUAUUUCUUUUAUCACUCUUAUUAUAUUGUUAUGAACUGUUGUUGGCUAUUGAUGUUGGACUCCGACCUUUGUCCCAGCUCGUCACUACUUUNNNNNNNNNNNNNNNNNNNNNNNNNNNNNNNNNNNNNNNNNNNNNNNNNNNNNNNNNNNNNNNNNNNNNNNNNNNNNNNNNNNNNNNNNNNNNNNNNNACUUAUGUACCUUGCGUACAGAUUUUCGAUGCUAAUGUUGUUGUGUAUAGCGCGAGCAGGCAUUUAAGACGUACAUAUGUUCCGGUCAUUGCUGCCUUUUGUUCUUGGUAGCUUUAGAAUUAUUAAGUUGUUCAUGUAUAUUUCAAACAGGUGAUGUAUUUAUUUCAUACCAGCUUUGUAAACUCUAAAUCUUAAAACUCAUGAUUUGUACUAUCAGUCUUUGGGAAUUCUUUGUAUAGAAGUGCAGUUAUAUUAUCAUUACAUUUCUCAGUAAAUCUCAAUGAAUUGGAUUAUUAUUGCUAAUUGUCUUACCUAGCAGGUUGGAUUAGGUAUCAUCACGACUAGUUGGAUUUUGCGUCUUGACAGAAAAUCAACAUGUAAAACUUUAAAUUAUUGUGAGUAAUGUACGACUAUAUGUGAGUAAUGUAAGACUAUAACAUUAUACUCAACAAUAGCAUCCCCAUUGGUUAUGUUGAACCAAACAGUCUUUGCAGGGUCAAUUCGCUAAGCCAACCGAAAAACUCCAGAAUUACUGACGAUCGGCAUUUCACGAUACUCAUUAAACACAUGAUUCCGGCCAAGUACACUCAAUAUGCUACCAUUGAGCUUACCACUGGUGAACACAAAGUUGAGGUUCAUGAGAAGGGCACCUUCUUUUUUAUCAACUGAACCAUAUAUUCCUUGGGCUCGGCCUACUAUUGUUGAAUUGGGCUCUGGCCCAACUGUUAAUGG